rnacentral:tRNA from 1 species
UCAUGUAGCUCAAUGGUAGAGCGAUAGGCUGUUAACCUGGGGAGUGAGAAUUCGAUUCUCUCCAUGAC